AUCCUCAUGAUUUCUUACCCAUGAGCUCUAAACAUUAGUCUGAUGGCUAAAGGAGGAGGAAAGGUAAAACUGAGACUGACUUGGAUGCUUUUGUGACAUACCAGUUGGUUCAAACUAAA
rnacentral:snoRNA from 1 species